UAUAGUCAUUAGAAUAACCAAAUUUUAAAUUAAAGUUCCCGGCAAAAGGAGAAAGAAAACAAAACAAAAACAAGCUAGCCAUGGAAGAGUUCUUUCAAGUUUCUUGGUUUGAUAAUGAUGAAGCAAAUUUUGUGGUGAACCAAAGUGCUUUUGUGAGUUUUAGAGAACAACCAAUUGAAGGAUUUGGAGUUUUUGGCUAUGAAAGUAAUGUAUCGACAAAUUAUCAGAACAUGAACAAGAGGAUGAUGGAGUUCUUGAAGAAGAAUUGGAGUCCCAAAAAUGGAGAAAUGAAAAUGGAAAGAGAGAAAGGUCAUAAACACAUGAUUAAAGAGAGGAUUAGAAGGCAAGAGCAGAAGCAGAAUUAUUCGGCCUUGCAUAAAUUGCUUCCUAUGGGAACUAAGGGUGAGAAGAAUGCAAUAGUCCAAACAGCAGCACAAAGAAUUCAAGAGCUGCAAAAAUACAAGGAAAAUUUAAAGAAGAGAAAUGAUGAACUUCAAAUGAUUUUAGCAGAAAGUGAAAAGGAAGAAGUUGAGAAGGCUAAUAUCAAAGCAAAAGUUAAUUAUCCAAUUUCUGGUGUAGAUUCAAUGCUAGAAGUUCUCAAGUGCUUGAAGAAUUGUGGAACCAAAGCAAAUGCCAUACAGUCAAAUUUUUCUCAGCAAGAAUUCUCCACUGUGAUUGAAAUAGAAACUAAGAGUGGAGCAGCAGAACUAGAAAAAGCAGUGCAAAAUACUCUAGUUGAAGCUGAAAGGAAUUUUCGUGCCCAUUGGCAGCCAAUGACCCUGUAAUUUUAAGCCAUAGAAUGAUUCAAGUUAGAGUUUUUUUAUUUCAAAGAAGAAAUUAAGAAGGGAAGCAAUGUGUAAAAUUAUUGAAGAAGUAACAGUUCCAGGCGUGUUGUUUAUUGGCUUUGCUGCUUUCAUAAACAAUCUUGAGUGAGUCUUUUACUUUUGCUAAUUAUAAUUACUUCCAAUUUAUACGUAGUGUGCUUGGUUUAUUCAUUUUUUUGUUGAUAAGGAAAACAAUCUUAGAACAAUUUAAUUAACUCACUUCGAUUUUUCAAUUCCUUGUUUCGAAGUUUUUUUUUAAAAUUUAAUUUGAACCCCUUUUGGACCUCUAAAUAAUUAUUUCAAAUCAUAAAUUUCGCUCAACUUUUAACAAAUAUCCUAUUAAAUUUUUGGUCGAUCCAAAAAAUCAUACAAUUUUCAAACAAUAUAUUUUAGUAAGAAUUGGAAAAAAACUUUGCAUAAAUAAUUAAGAAGGAUUUUAUAGAUAGUUUGUCUUUGUAACCAAAAAAAAAAAAAACUCGAAAAGUUGAUAACUACAAACCAAAUCGACCAAAAUAUACUGAAUUUUAAAUAUAUGAACUAAAAAAGAAGCUAAACUAUCCGGUUCUGUUGGUUUGGGUUAGAAAUAAUAGUGCAAACUCAUCAACCCAGACUCCAGGAGGUGUAGUGAGAUGGAUAGAAUCUCUUCAAUAAGCCUAACGCGGUGCAAAUUGAAAUUAAGUGACACAGUGAACAUUGUAUAUUAUAUGAUAUAUCCAAAAACAUACAAACCCCAUGAGUAUAUAUGUGUGUUAUAUCUCACUAAUUAAUAUAAUUCCUAGUAGCUGUGACUAUAAUGGUGUAAACUCUAUUUUGUUCUGAUUACAGUAUGAGAAAGGCUUAUGAUAAAACCAUGGGAAGGGCUCAUAGAGAGUUUGCCAUGUAAGAGAGUUUGUUAUAUAU